CGAGCUAGGGCUGGAAAGCAUUUUAUUUACACUAAAGGGGUUUAUUAAAGAGUUUAAUAAUAGCUUGA
rnacentral:tRNA from 1 species